rnacentral:tRNA from 1 species
GGAAAGGUGGCCGAGUGGCUUAAGGCACCGCUAACGCGGCACACGGGAAACCGUGUCGAAGGUUCGAAUCCUAUCCCUUUCCUCCA